rnacentral:rRNA from 1 species
CUACGGGGUGCACCAGUAGGGAAUCUUAGACAAUGGGGGAAACCCUGAUCUAGCCAUGCCGCGUGAGUGAUGAAGGCCUUAGGGUUGUAAAGCUCUUUCGCUGGGGAAGAUAAUGACGGUACCCAGUAAAGAAACCCCGGCUAACUCCGUGCCAGCAGCCGCGGUAAUACGGAGGGGGUUAGCGUUGUUCGGAAUUACUGGGCGUAAAGCGCGCGUAGGCGGGCUAUUAAGUCAGGGGUGAAAUCCCGGGGCUCAACCCCGGAACUGCCUUUGAUACUGGUAGUCUUGAGUUCGAGAGAGGUGAGUGGAAUUCCGAGUGUAGAGGUGAAAUUCGUAGAUAUUCGGAGGAACAUCAGUGGCGAGGGCGACUCACUGGCUCGAUACUGACGCUGAGGUGCGAAAGUGUGGGGAGCAAACAGGAUUAGAUACCCGAGUAGUC